UACGGAGGGUGCAAGCGUUAAUCGGAAUUACUGGGCGUAAAGCGUACGUAGGCGGCUUGUUAAGCAAGAUGUGAAAGCCCCGGGCUCAACCUGGGAACGGCAUCCGGAACUGUCAGGCUAGAGUGCAGGAGAGGAAGGUAGAAUUCCCGGUGUAGCGGUGAAAUGCGUAGAGAUCGGGAGGAAUACCAGUGGCGAAGGCGGCCUUCUGGACUGACACUGACACUGAGGUGCGAAAGCGUGGGUAGCAAACAGG
rnacentral:rRNA from 1 species